CGGCCAGAGACGCACAAGAAGCUGCAGGCUCUGCUUUAAACCAGACUACCGACACAGAACCAAUCUGGAGCAGAAGAUCCAGAAGCUGAUCCAGAACAAAGAGAUCAAAGCGGCUGAGGUCUUCGUGUUGUUGGACACAGUGGAUUCACUUCGACGGGAAAUCUCCAAACGGGCCGAAGGAUACAUCACCUGUACCUCCUAAACACAGCUGACAGGGCUGGAGAGUAACUAGUUACAUGUAAUCUAAUUACAAAAUGAAGGUAACUGUAAUCUGUUACAGUUACUGGGAGAAAAUGUGUAAUUAAAUUACAGAUAUCUAUGAAAAUGUUC
rnacentral:lncRNA from 1 species